AACUUUUAGCAACGGAUCUCUUGGUUCUGGCAUCGAUGAAGAACGCAGCGAAAUGCGAUAAGCAAUGUGAAUUGCAGAAUUCAGUGAAUCAUCGAAUCUUUGAACGCACAUUGCGCCCCCUGGUAUUCCGGGGGGCAUGCCUGUUCGGGCGUCAUUUCACCACUCAAGCCUCGCUUGGUAUUGGGCAACGCGGUCCGCCGCGUGCCUCAAAUCGACCGGCUGGGUCUUCUGUCCCCUAAGCGUUGUGGAAACUAUUCGCUAAAGGGUGUUCGGGAGGCUACGCCGUAAAACAACCCCAUUUCUAAGGUUGACCUCGGAUCAGGUAGGGAUACCCGCUGAACUUAAGCAUAUCAAUAAGCGGAGGUU
rnacentral:misc_RNA from 1 species